rnacentral:snRNA from 1 species
CGGGCUAGAAGCGACGCAUGCGCCCG